GUACCCGAUUAAUCUGUUCUUUUUUGACUUCUUUUUUCUCCACUAGGCUUGGAGGCUUCUUCGUUUUCGAAAGAAAAGUCAAAAACGAACGGAAAGCCUCCCAAUGGGAGGUUUUUUUAU
rfam:Vibro shilonii strain QT6D1 chromosome 1, complete sequence.